GAGAUGGCUGGCCUCCCGGAGAGGAUGACACUGGUACUGAACUACUUGCCAUUAGCUGUUGGUGAUGUGGAUUCAAACAGUCCACAAUUAUUUUGCUGAGUUUGGAUAAAAUUGAUUAGUGGCAAUAUUUUACUCUCAGAAAAUAAAUGUUUAUUAUUGGAUAAUGUACUUAGAAUUAUUUGCAACACGGCAAUGCGGGUGAAUAGUUUUGUACUAUCAACUGCAACAAGAUGUUCCGGGUAUCUACAUCCUCCCCUUCAUUACUACUCCGUACUAUAUAGUCCUAUCAAUGGGAAAAUGAAGUGCAGAAAAGUCUGCAACAAGAUAUACUCUGUUAUCUACCUUGUUAUUUCAGUAAUUGAAUUCACGGGCUAAUGAAGUCUGAUAAUUUUUCUUGCGUGAACAUCAAAUCUUCACUUCGAUUUUGACUACAGGACUGACCACUUAAAGACCAUAACCCAAAUUUAGGUUCGGUUUUGCUUUCUCAGUUCAAUAGAGUGGCCCAAAGAACUGAUUUUGAAAUUUACACUACAACCUGAGCUCUAAGAGUGUUUGCAGGUCAUUGUUCAGACUGCAAC